ensembl:snoRNA small nucleolar RNA, C/D box 107
GGUUUGUGAUGACACAGGACCUUGUCUUAACAUUAUGAUUUUGUAUUUUGAGCUUUAUGUGACACUGAAAUC